GAUUGGUUUAUAAUGCUGAAGAACUGAAAAUAUCCAGCCACAGAAAAACCAUUUGGAAAAUUACAGAAUGUGCAUAUCUCCAGCACCUCCUCAUCCCCCAGGAAGCAUCACUGGGGCACAUUCACCAAAGAUAUGACAAUAUCAACUUGCCACUCCAAGCCUAUGCAGCCUAGCCUUUCAGGACUAUCUUCAGGAUUAAUUCCCAACUGGGUCCCUAGGUGACAGAAGCUACUAGCAGGGGCAUCCCUAAGAACAACAACACAACAUGAAUCUCCUGAAGAUACUCAGUAUGAGGAGUUGCUCAGAAUCAACUGAAUUGAUUGCUCUCAAACAAAGACAGGAGUGGUUACAGCAGCUCAGUCCCCCUGCAGCUGCCUGCCAAAGUAAAGCGUUUUUGAGAUCCCUAAGCAAGCUGGCAUAAGAAAAAAAGCAGGGCAUUGGACAAGAAAACAAAGCAGGAGACAGUACACACACCUGAAAGAAAUCAGAAGAAAUACAAAGUUUGCAAAGCCAAGGUUACCACGGAGGAAAUGCAGCAAUGUGUUUCUCUCAUUAGAUGAAAGCUUGAGUAUUUACCAGAAGUACAAAAUUCUCCAAGUUAAUUCAAAAAUAUUUCAUGUAAUUUUAAAAUAUAUCUUUCAAACCAGCCUCUCCUGACAGAUGUCUAGCUCAUGGGGUAGAAAAGCAUAUGGCAAAAUGUACAGAGUAGUUGGAUGUCUGUCAGGGCACCAGGGGAACUGUAACAGAACCUAAGGAGAUGUAAUCCCAGCACCUUGGGAGGCCGAGGCAGGAGAAUUGUGUAAGCCCAGGAGUUCGACACCAGCCUGGGCAAUAAAGUGAGACCCCAUCUCUACAAAAAAUAACAUAAUCAGCCAGGCAUGGUGGUGUGCGCCUGGAGACCCAGCUACUUGGGAGCUUGAGGGGAGAGCUCAAGGAUACAGGGAGCUAUGAUUGCACCACUGCACGCCAGCUGGGGCGACAGAACAAGACCCCGUCUCAAAAAAAAAAAAAAAAAACAGAACCCAAAUAGAAGCCUUCACUUCUCCUGAGUAGCACUCACACAACUGUAAUUUCUUAAGUAUUUGUCUCGUUUUAUAUAUGGUGUUUCCCCCAUUCAACUAAAGCUCCAGGUAGGCAAGGACAGUGAGUGUUUUUAAUAUUUCAGCAGCUGGGAAUGGUAGAUA